rnacentral:sRNA from 1 species
UGGUCGAACAUCGUGAUUGGGCGAACAA